rnacentral:lncRNA from 1 species
GGAGUGGUCAAUCCCAUCUCGAUCACACUCUGACUUCGCAAGUACUUGACUGUGCCCAGAAGCCUUCCGUCCCUGAAUUAGAAAUUCAGUUAGUCCAGUACCAAAGCACAGUGAGUUGCUUGCAAGUCACUGAGGCGAUCUCAAGUCUAAGGGACACUUAUACCUAUAUCCCAUCAGAGAUAUUCUCGACAGCAGAAUGCUCUGGAGUUGAUCACGUUCAAUGACGAUGUACCCUUACAUCUCACCUGUAUGCCAUACCAGUGUCUCCAUACUCUUUGGUUAAGAGGACAACCAACCCAUAUGGCCUACAGCGACCUAUGCUCGAUAGAAGCUGUCGUCCUUAUUA